rnacentral:rRNA from 1 species
AUUGAACGCUGGCGGCAGGCCUAACACAUGCAAGUCGAGCGGAUGAAGGGAGCUUGCUCCUGGAUUCAGCGGCGGACGGGUGAGUAAUGCCUAGGAAUCUGCCUGGUAGUGGGGGAUAACGUCCGGAAACGGGCGCUAAUACCGCAUACGUCCUGAGGGAGAAAGUGGGGGAUCUUGGGACCUAACCCUAUCAGAUAAGCCUAGGUCGGAUUAGCUAGUUGGUGGGGUAAAGGCUUACCAAGGCGACGAUCCGUAACUGGUCUGAGAGGAUGAUCAGUCACACUGGAACUGAGACACGGUCCAGACUCCUACGGGAGGCAGCAGUGGGGAAUAUUGGACAAUGGGCGAAAGCCUGAUCCAGCCAUGCCGCGUGUGUGAAGAAGGUCUUCGGAUUGUAAAGCACCUUAAGUUGGGAGGAAGGGCAGUAAGUUAAUACCUUGCUGUUUUGACGUUACCAACAGAAUAAGCACCGGCUAACUUCGUG